GCCAGACUCCUACGGGAGGCAGCAGUGGGGGAUAUUGCACAAUGGGGGGAACCCUGAUGCAGCAACGCCGCGUGAGUGAGGAAGUAUUUCGGUAUGUAAAGCUCUAUCAGCAGGGAAUAGAAAAGAAGGUACCUGAAAAAGAAGCCCCGGCUAACUACGUGCCAGCAGCCGCGGUAAUACGUAGGGGGCAAGCGUUAUCCGGAUUUACUGGGUGUAAAGGGGGCGCAGACGGCAGCGCAAGCCAGGAGUGAAAGCCCGGGGCCCAACCCCGGGACUGCUCUUGGAACUGCGCGGCUGGAGUGCAGGAGGGGCAGGCGGAAUUCCUGGUGUAGCGGUGAAAUGCGUAGAUAUCAGGAGGAACACCGGUGGCGAAGGCGGCCUGCUGGACUGCGACUGACGUUGAGGCCCGAAAGCGUGGGGAGCAAACAGGAUUAGAUACCCCCGUA
rnacentral:rRNA from 1 species